UCAAAACCAGUGGCGGGCCGGCCGCGGGCCCCGAGCGCAGUAGACUCUGCCUUCUCGCUCUGGGCGCCCACGGCCGCUGCUCGGCCCCCCCAAGACCCCCCGACGGCUAUGCCGCGGUCGACCUCGGAUCAGGUAAGACUACCCGCUGAACUUAAGCAUAUCAAUAAGCGGAGGAAAAGAAACCAACAGGGAUUGCCUCAGUAACGGCGAGUGAAGCGGCAAAAGCUCAAAUUUGAAAUCUGGCCCCCCCCGCGGGGGUCCGAGUUGUAAUUUGCAGAGGAUGCUUUGGGCGCGGCGCCUUCCGAGUGCCUUGGAACAGGUCGCCUCAGAGGGUGAGAGCCCCGUACGGUUGGACGCCUAGCCCGUGUAAAGCUCCUUCAACGAGUCGAGUAGUUUGGGAAUGCUGCUCAAAAUGGGAGGUAAAUUCCUUCUAAAGCUAAAUACUGGCCAGAGACCGAUAGCGCACAAGUAGAGUGAUCGAAAGGUGAAAAGCACUUUGAAAAGAGAGUCAAAUAGCACGUGAAAUUGUUAAAAGGGAAGCGUCUGCGACCAGACGCGCCGCCCGCGGCUCACCCGGCGCCUCGGCGCCGGGGCACGCCGCGGGCGUCGGGCCAGCAUCGGCUCUGCCGUGGGUACAAGGACCGCGGGAACGUAGCUCCCUCGUGGAGUGUUAUAGCCCGCGGCACCAUGCCCGCGGCGGGGCCGAGGA
rnacentral:rRNA from 1 species